CAACGUUUUCUAGAUAUUACACUGUUUACGUUUUCUCAGUAACGUUGUGACAAUAUUGCUGAGGAAAUGUACACAGCGUAAUAUCUGGACAACGUUGU
rnacentral:pre_miRNA from 13 species